UGCAGUCGAACGGUGAAGGAGAGCUUGCUCUCUGGAUCAGUGGCGAACGGGUGAGUAACACGUGAGCAAUCUGCCCCUGACUCUGGGAUAAGCGCUGGAAACGGCGUCUAAUACCGGAUACGAGCUGCGAAGGCAUCUUCAGCAGCUGGAAAGAACUUCGGUCAGGGAUGAGCUCGCGGCCUAUCAGCUAGUUGGUGAGGUAAAGGCUCACCAAGGCGUCGACGGGUAGCCGGCCUGAGAGGGUGACCGGCCACACUGGGACUGAGACACGGCCCAGACUCCUACGGGAGGCAGCAGUGGGGAAUAUUGCACAAUGGGCGCAAGCCUGAUGCAGCAACGCCGCGUGAGGGACGACGGCCUUCGGGUUGUAAACCUCUUUUAGCAGGGAAGAAGCGAAAGUGACGGUACCUGCAGAAAAAGCACCGGCUAACUACGUGCCAGCAGCCGCGGUAAUACGUAGGGUGCAAGCGUUAUCCGGAAUUAUUGGGCGUAAAGAGCUCGUAGGCGGUUUGUCGCGUCUGCUGUGAAAACUGGGGGCUCAACCCCCAGCCUGCAGUGGGUACGGGCAGACUAGAGUGCGGUAGGGGAGAUUGGAAUUCCUGGUGUAGCGGUGGAAUGCGCAGAUAUCAGGAGGAACACCGAUGGCGAAGGCAGAUCUCUGGGCCGUAACUGACGCUGAGGAGCGAAAGGGUGGGGAGCAAACAGGCUUAGAUACCCUGGUAGUCCACCCCGUAAACGUUGGGAACUAGUUGUGGGGUCCAUUCCACGGAUUCCGUGACGCAGCUAACGCAUUAAGUUCCCCGCCUGGGGAGUACGGCCGCAAGGU
rnacentral:rRNA from 1 species